CCUACGAGUGGCUGCAGUAGGGAAUUUUCGUCAAUGGGCGCAAGCCUGAACGAGCGAUGCCGCGUGAGUGAAGAAGGCCUUCGGGUCGUAAAGCUCUGUUGCGGGGGAAAAAAGGCAGCAUCAGGAAAUGGGUGCUGACUGAUGGUGCCCCGCCAGAAAGUCACGGCUAACUACGUUCCAGCAGCCGCGGGAAUACGUAGGUGGCGAGCGUUUUCCGGAAUGAUUGGGCGUAAGGGGGGCGCAGGCGGUCCUGCAAGUCGGGAGUGAAGCGCAUGAGCUCAACUCAUGCUUGGCUUUGGAAACUGGAGGACUGGAGGGCAGGAGAGGGCGGUGGAACUCCAUGUGUAGCGGUAGAAUGCGUAGAUAUAUGGAAGAACACCAGUGGCGAAGGCGGCCGCCUGGCCUGUUGCUGACGCUGAGGCACGAAAGCGUGGGGAGCAAAUAGGAUUAGAUACCCGGGUAGUC
rnacentral:rRNA from 1 species